ACGUAGGCAGCGAGCGUUGUUCGGAAUUACUGGGCGUAAAGAGUGUGUAGGCGGUGUUCCCAGUCUGUUGUGAAAUCUCCCGGCUUAACUGGGAGGGUGCAGCGGAAACUAGAAUGCUAGAGGGUGGGAGAGGUAAGCGGAAUUCCUGGUGUAGCGGUGAAAUGCGUAGAUAUCAGGAGGAACACCUGUGGUGUAGACAGCUUACUGGACCACUUCUGACGCUGAGACACGAAAGCGUGGGUAGCAAACAGGA
rnacentral:rRNA from 1 species